rnacentral:rRNA from 1 species
ACACAUGCAAGUCGAACGGAGCACCCUUGAUUGAGGUUUCGGCCAAAUGAUAGGAAUGCUUAGUGGCGGACUGGUGAGUAACGCGUGAGGAACCUGCCUUUCAGAGGGGGACAACAGUUGGAAACGACUGCUAAUACCGCAUGACGCAUUUUGAUCGCAUGGUCGGAAUGCCAAAGAUUUAUCGCUGAAAGAUGGCCUCGCGUCUGAUUAGCUAGUUGGUGAGGUAACGGCCCACCAAGGCGACGAUCAGUAGCCGGACUGAGAGGUUGACCGGCCACAUUGGGACUGAGAUACGGCCCAGACUCCUACGGGAGGCAGCAGUGGGGAAUAUUGGGCAAUGGGCGCAAGCCUGACCCAGCAACGCCGCGUGAAGGAAGAAGGCUUUCGGGUUGUAGACUUCUUUUAAGUGGGAAGAGUAGAAGACGGUACCACUUGAAUAAGCCACGGCUAACUACGUGCCAGCAGCCGCGGUAAUACGUAGGUGGCAAGCGUUGUCCGGAUUUACUGGGUGUAAAGGGCGUGCAGCCGGGCAUGCAAGUCAGAUGUGAAAUCUCAGGGCUUAACCCUGAAACUGCAUUUGAAACUGUAUGUCUUGAGUGCCGGAGAGGUAAUCGGAAUUCCUUGUGUAGCGGUGAAAUGCGUAGAUAUAAGGAAGAACACCAGUGGCGAAGGCGGAUUACUGGACGGUAACUGACGGUGAGGCGCGAAAGCGUGGGGAGCGAACAGGAGUAGAUACCCUGGUAGUCCACGCUGUAAACGAUGGAUACUAGGUGUGCGGGGACUGACCCCCUGCGUGCCGCAGUUAACACAA